rnacentral:rRNA from 1 species
UACGUAGGUCCCGAGCGUUGUCCGGAUUUAUUGGGCGUAAAGCGAGCGCAGGUGGUUUAUUAAGUCUGGUGUAAAAGGCAGUGACUCAACCAUUGUAUGCAUUGGAAACUGGUAGACUUGAGUGCAGGAGAGGAGAGUGGAAUUCCAUGUGUAGCGGUGAAAUGCGUAGAUAUAUGGAGGAACACCGGUGGCGAAAGCGGUUCUCUGGCCUGUAACUGACACUGAGGCUCGAAAGCGUGGGGAGCAAACAGG